UUCCCAAGUCUGGUGCAGAGUAGCUGUAACUCCAAGCGCGCCUGAGAAAGGGACAGCGCUAAGGGUGACCCGAGACACGGGGGUGAUGUUACCACGGGUGACGAGGAACCAGGACAGGUGAUGGAGGAUAUGGCUGUUUCUCUUGGCUUCUAACUCCAUUGUCCCGACCUGUAACCCCUGCUGAACACAAUUACAAUAAUGCACAUAAGUCCACGUGGAAUGUGAUAGAAAUAUGUUUUGGUGUGCUGAAAUCUAAGUUUCGGUGUCUGGAUAAGUCUGGUGGCCUUUUGUUGUAUAGUCCCUUGAAGGUGACUCAAAUUGUGUUCUGCUGCUGCUUUCUUCAUAACAUGUGUUUGCAACAACAUCUGCCACAUGUUGAAGAUGACGAGGAGGAUGAAGAAAGCAGCCAGCAAGCAGAGGAAUUAGAGACAUCUGGUGACACUUGGAGUACAGAUGUAGGGAGGCAGGUUAGGCAAGACCUCAAAUAGUUAUUUUUAAGAAAUAGCUUUAAUUUUUGUUUUAUUUUUUUUGGGUGGCUGCUUGUACUGGCCUUUGCCUUUACCACUGUCGUGUUGGCGUGCUAUGGUGGAGCGCCUUGGUGGUGAGGACACUGGCGAUAUAAUUGGAGUAGUCAUACCAGAACUGCUGCUUGGUUGCUAUUGGUGCUGGGAUCUGAGUGUUUCAUUGAGCAUCUUCCACACAAUCUGCUACUCUCUUACUGAAGUGGACAUACAUAUCUUUACUGGAUGUGGACAAGGCCAUUUUGCUCGGAUUCCAUUUGAUGUUUUAGUGACUUUGUUUCUUACUCACAAUCAAGAUGAGGGGAGUGUGGUUGGCGUCUUGGAGGUGUGUCUAAAAUUUGCAGUGGUGGGACCGAAGAAACUG